AGACCUUCGGACAAUGUCGUGCACUCUCAUCGCUUUGGCACCAACGGACCCAAAGCAAAUCAUUGCAAGCUCACAAAGCGACCCCAGGUCAGGCGAGACUACCCGCUGAGUUUAAGCAUAUCAAUAAGCGGAGGAAAAGAAACUUACCAGGAUUCCCCUAGUAACGGCGAGCGAACCGGGAAAAGCCCAGA
rnacentral:rRNA from 1 species